rnacentral:lncRNA from 7 species
GAACUUCAGCUUUCCUUAAAAUCCUGAUGCUGACAGGGAGCAUUUGCACUGCUGUCAGGCAGAACUUACCGUAGGAGCUCAGUGCCCAGAAAGGCUCCUGCCUGUGGUAACUCUGAGCAGCAGAAAAAGUAGAAGAGUGAAUUCUAACAGAACAGGAACAAAUAUUUUCUUUAAGGUGUCAGAUUAAUACAGAGCAUGCACUAUGCUUCACUUUUCAUUUUUCACUUUUACAACUGCUGCUGAGGCUGUUGGUUAGCCUCUGUGCAACGCGACAAUGAGCAACAAGACACCACAGAAGGGUGCAGCAUACUGCAUGCAGACCCUUCCUUGGCCACCCAAGACGAUGCUGCAGAUCUUGGUCCUGCCAGCACGAUGCUGAUCUGCUUGAGCACAGCCAUAUAGGAUGCCUGUGUACCCUUUUUGAAGUUCUGGGGGUGUUUCCCUCUUCCUCAGAUGAGCUCUUUGCAAAAAUCCUGCAAACAAGAGAAGAUGAGGCUGGUGAGAUACUCAAGGUAAUGUAAUGGAGGGAUAUAAGCGUCAUAAUCCAAAGCUCCACUGCAGGAAGCCACGUACUUAAGUCUUUUUGGACAAUUUCCUCAGAACUGUGAAAAACUACUGUUGCAGCAUGCUCCUGACAAAAGAAAUUCAUUUUCCUAACAGAAUCAUGGGUAAAUGACAUUCAAAGGAAAUUGAAAAAGGAAAGAUGUCCCUCUGCUGAUAGUUUCAGGAGCUGAACUAAGGGCAGUAUGGUCAAAUAUCCAGGAGUCCAUUUAGAGCAGUCAGCCAGUGCUGCAGACCCAAAUGCAAUGGAAGAGGGAGAACUACAGACUUCUUGUGCUGAUUGUUUGGAGAUCACCAUUGGCCUGCAGUGUUUGGGAUUUAUCUAAGGGUAGGGUGAUACAGUGCGUGCACAUGAACUGCGAGUGAAUGCAGUAAGAUCUGUGUAACCAGAUAUCCUCCGUGGAGGCACAAGGAAUUAGUAAAAUAAAUAACAUUUUAAUCUU